rnacentral:rRNA from 1 species
UUCCUACGGGGCGCAGCAGUGGGGAAUAUUGCACAAUGGGGGAAACCCUGAUGCAGCAACGCCGCGUGAAGGAAGACGGAUUUCGGAUUGUAAACUUCUGUUCUUAGUGGCGAAGCAUGACGGUAGCUAACUAGCAAGCCACGGCUAACUACGUGCCAGCAGCCGCGGUAAUACGUAGGUGGCAAGCGUUGUCCGGAAUUACUGGGUGUAAAGGGAGCGCAGGCGGCAAGCCAAGUCAGCUGUGAAAACUGCGGGCUUAACUUGUGGACUGCUGUUGAAACUGUUUUUCUUGAGUGGAGUAGAGG